CAGAAUACUCAAAAAGAUGACAAUUGAAAAAGAAUAUUUGUUAAGUCAAAAGUUUAAUAAUAUUUAUCAUAAUUCAUAUUCAAAGUGACUUUGGCUCAAAUUUUAUGCCCGAAUAGAUUGUGUCCACAGAAACCCGAGGCAUUAUACUAGAUACGAAAUACAACGUUUUAGAAAAACAUUAAAACUAAGUCUAAAGUCAGAUAAGGUUUUCAUAGUCCUAAGUCAGAGCAUAAUACUCGCCUUUUAAGAAAAGCGAAUCCCCAGCAAUUUUUUGUGCUGAAUUUGUACUAAAUCGAGAAGUUUAACAAAAUUAUAAUUUUGCCCUCACCUGGUUUGAUAAGCAAGAUUUGUGACGAUAUGGACACCACCCUGGGGGGGGAUAUAUUAGAAGUUUGAUUAGUACUAAGUUGAUGUUUUCGUCAAAAACACUACUGAAAUCAUGGCUUUGACAAGGUUGACAAAGUGAAAACCCAAUAAUUUCCCAUUCCAUCUUUGUAAUAUGCAUCUUUAAUUCACUUUUAUACGUCCUUACGUAAAUAUGCUUCAUAUUAGAUCCAUAUGACAAGUUGGGUAUCCUAUAACAUAGAUACGGCAGGCCCUCUACUCUCUGGAGAUAAAUUGGAACAGAAUGGCUGAAAUUGAGUAUACUUAAAGAGACUUUAAUGAGACCUUAAAGAGACCUUAAAGAGACUUUAAUGAAAUAAAAUUUGGGGCUAAUGGCUUAAUGCAUAUGUCGUUUUUCGUUUAAAAGGAAAAAUACCGCACUCUCUAAGCGUCAUUGUUGCCAGUAGUUGUGUAUAAACUUUAUGAAAAAAAUCAACGUCUUGAGAUUUUGUUUUACUUGUAUAACUAACAUGCUUUUUGUUUUUCAACAAGUAAUAAUGGUCUAGAAAUACAGAUUUUGUUGUCAUGCCAAUAAUAAACAAGUAAUAAUGCGAUGUUGCUCGUACAAUUAUGGAUUAAUAGUACGAGUGAUGUUUGGAAAUUUUGCCAAAUUGAACUCGCCCCGGCGGCUCGUCCAAUUCUUUUGGCAAAAUUUCCAAACAUCACUCGUACUAUUACUCCCUAAUUGUACUCGCCAUCGCAUGAUUACCUAUACUAACUGCACAAUUAUUGCGAAAUUGUGCGUUUAUCACAUUAAAAUUUAUUUAGUAAGGCCUGUGGAACAUUGGCACAACUGCUUGUUCUCAUGCAUAAAUUUUAAACUAGUUUUUGGGAUUGGAUUUAUUC
rnacentral:lncRNA from 1 species